rnacentral:rRNA from 1 species
CACACACACAAUAUUACCAUAAGCAUCUUGUCUGAUUUUGGAAGCUAAGCAAUAUCAAUCUUGGUUAAUACUUGGAUGGGAGACCAUUAAGAAAUAUCUGGGGUCUCUUUGU